rnacentral:rRNA from 1 species
GACGAACGCUGGCGGCGCGCCUAACACAUGCAAGUCGAACGAGCGAGAGGAGGUUUCCUUUCUCAAGCGAGUGGCGAACGGGUGAGUAACGCGUGAGGAACCUGCCUCAAAGAGGGGGACAACAGUUGGAAACGACUGCUAAUACCGCAUGAGCCCACGACCCGGCAUCGGGUAGAGGGAAAAGGAGCAAUCCGCUUUGAGAUGGCCUCGCGUCCGAUUAGCUAGUUGGUGAGGUAAUGGCCCACCAAGGCGACGAUCGGUAGCCGGACUGAGAGGUUGAACGGCCACAUUGGGACUGAGACACGGCCCAGACUCCUACGGGAGGCAGCAGUGGGGAAUAUUGCACAAUGGGGGAAACCCUGAUGCAGCGACGCCGCGUGGAGGAAGAAGGUCUUCGGAUUGUAAACUCCUGUUGUUGAGGAAGAUAAUGACGGUACUCAACAAGGAAGUGACGGCUAACUACGUG